GGAAUCGUGCACAAUGGACGCAAGUCUGAUGCCGCGACGCCGCGUGAUGGAUGAAGGUCUUCGGAUCGUAAACAUCUUUUUAGGGGGAACAAAUUUUGAGUGUACCCCUAGAAUAAGUGCCUGCUAACCACGUGCCAGAAGCAUCGGUAAUACGUGGGGCACAAGCGUUAUCCGGAUUUACUGGGCGUAAAGAGAUGCGUAGGCGUCUUUACAAGUUUGGUGUUAAAUCUCAAUGCUCAACAUUGAAACUGCAUCAAAAACUGUAAGGAUUGAGUUUGGUAGAGAGGAAGGGAAUUCCUGGUGGAGCGGUUAAAUGCGUUGAUAUCAGGAGGAACACCAACGGCGAAGGCACUUCCUUGGACCAAUACUGACGCUAAGGCUCGAAAGUGUGGGGAGCAA
rnacentral:rRNA from 1 species